AGCGAACGCUGGCGGCAGGCUUAACACAUGCAAGUCGAGCGGGCGUAGCAAUACGUCAGCGGCAGACGGGUGAGUAACGCGUGGGAACGUACCUUUUGGUUCGGAACAACCCAGGGAAACUUGGGCUAAUACCGGAUAAGCCCUUACGGGGAAAGAUUUAUCGCCAAAAGAUCGGCCCGCGUCUGAUUAGCUAGUUGGUGAGGUAACGGCUCACCAAGGCGACGAUCAGUAGCUGGUCUGAGAGGAUGAUCAGCCACAUUGGGACUGAGACACGGCCCAAACUCCUACGGGAGGCAGCAGUGGGGAAUAUUGGACAAUGGGCGCAAGCCUGAUCCAGCCAUGCCGCGUGAGUGAUGAAGGCCCUAGGGUUGUAAAGCUCUUUUGUGCGGGAAGAUAAUGACGGUACCGCAAGAAUAAGCCCCGGCUAACUUCGUGCCAGCCG
rnacentral:rRNA from 1 species